rnacentral:rRNA from 1 species
GAUGAACGCUAGCUACAGGCUUAACACAUGCAAGUCGAGGGGUAACGAGAGGAAAGCUUGCUUUCCUUGUCGACGACCGGCGCACGGGUGAGUAACGCGUAUCCAACCUGCCCCCAACUAAGGAAUAACCUUGCGAAAGUAAGACUAAUACCUUAUAAUUUCCUCAGAUGUCAUCUGACGAGGAAUAAAGAUUUAUCGGUUGUGGAUGGGGAUGCGUCUGAUUAGCUUGUUGGCGGGGUAACGGCCCACCAAGGCAACGAUCAGUAGGGGUUCUGAGAGGAAGGUCCCCCACAUUGGAACUGAGACACGGUCCAAACUCCUACGGGGGGCAGCCGUGAGGAAUAUGGGUCAAUGGGCGGAAGCCUGAACCAGCCAAGUAGCGUGCAGGAUGACGGCCCUAUGGGUUGUAAACUGCUUUUAUACAGGAAUAAAGUUAGCCACGUGUGGUUAUUUGUAGGUACUGUAUGAAUAAGGACCGGCUAAUUCCGUGCCAGCAGCCGCCGUAA